UACGAAGGGGGCUAGCGUUGUUCGGAAUUACUGGGCGUAAAGCGCACGUAGGCGGAUAUUUAAGUCAGGGGUGAAAUCCCAGAGCUCAACUCUGGAACUGCCUUUGAUACUGGGUAUCUGGAGUAUGGAAGAGGUGAGUGGAAUUCCGAGUGUAGAGGUGAAAUUCGUAGAUAUUGGGAGGAACACCAGUGGCGAAGGCGGCUCACUGGACCGGAACUGACGCUGAGGCGCGAAAGCGUGGGGAGCAAACAGG
rnacentral:rRNA from 1 species